rnacentral:tRNA from 1 species
CGCCCUCUUAGCUCAGUCGGUAGAGCGUCAGACUCUUAAUCUGAUGGUCGGGGGUUCGAGCCCCCCAGGGGGCU